UACGUAGGGGGCUAGCGUUGUCCGGAAUCAUUGGGCGUAAAGCGCGUGUAGGCGGUCCGGUAAGUCCGCUGUGAAAGUCGGGGGCUCAACCCUCGGAUGCCGGCGGAUACUGUCUGGCUUGAGUACGGAAGAGGCGAGUGGAAUUCCUGGUGUAGCGGUGAAAUGCGCAGAUAUCAGGAGGAACACCAAUAGCGAAGGCAGCUCGCUGGGACGGUACUGACGCUAAGGCGCGAAAGCGUGGGGAGCGAACAGG
rnacentral:rRNA from 1 species